CAGUCGCCACGGUAAUACGGAGGAUCCAAGCGUUAACCGGAAUCAUUGGGUUUAAAGGGUCCGUAGGCGGUCUUGUAAGUCAGUGGUGAAAGCCCAUCGCUCAACGGUGGAACGGCCAUUGAUACUGCAGGACUUGAAUUAUUGGGAAGUAACUAGAAUAUGUAGUGUAGCGGUGAAAUGCUUAGAGAUUACAUGGAAUACCAAUUGCGAAGGCAGGUUACUACCAAUUGAUUGACGCUGAUGGACGAAAGCGUGGGUAGCGAACAGGAUUAGAUACCCCUGUAGUCCCUGUCUCUUAUAC
rnacentral:rRNA from 1 species